rnacentral:misc_RNA from 1 species
AAGAAGUACUCCUAUACGGGCAUUUUCUGAAAAAAUUGAUUGAACCUGCACCAUUGCAUCAACCCCAUCUCCAGCCCUAGCUGAUAUAUUCAGCAUUUCCACAUCAACAGCAAAAAUGUUUUCCUUUUUCUUAGGCCUAUCAACAUUUCCUGAUUCCAAAGAGGCAGAUUUCUUUUGUUCAGUGUCUCUCAUGCUAGAGGCUUCUUCCAUACUUUCGUUACCUUGUUCCUGAACCUUUUGAUUGUGUACCAGUAAUUUCAGUUGCAGAACAAGUUCAAUCAAUGAUAAAUGUGCAUCAGGCUCCCACCUG